UAUCCAUCUAUCUAUCUAUCUAUCUAUCUAUCUAUCUAUCUAUCUAUCUAUCUAUCUAUCUAUCUAUCUAUCUAUUGAACUGAUAUAGCCAUCCAUCUCAGAUACAUAUCUGAGUGGCUCAUACAAUUAAAAAAUAAAAACAAUAGUUGUAAGCAAACAACUAAAAUAAAAAACAUUCAAAACCAAUUAAAACAAUACAGAACCAUAAAUAUUUGUGGGAGAGUACAAUUCAUACAACUGCUAACAAUAGAACCGUCUGACAGGCUCCAUACCACCUUUGGAUCUCCAGACAUGAUGACAAAACCAUGUCUUCAUGGCCUUCUGAAAAGCCAGCAGGAUUGGGGACAUUUCAGUUGGGAGGGGAAUAAGGGGCCACGAAAUACUGUUCCAGAGGGUGGGUGCUGCAGCAGAAAAGAUUCUCCUCAUAGACAUCCACCUUGGUUUUUGAUAUAUCUUAACUGUUACUAUACACUCUCCUACUGCAAAGCACUCCAAAUUCACAUUAUUCACUGUAUUAUAUGCUAUAAAUCAACACAUGUAGAAUAAAAUUCCUUCUCACAUUCAAAUGUUUUUCAAUGACCUGCUGAAGAGCUUAGAGAUAUGCUGGCUCAGGAAUUCUGGGAGUUGAAGUCCAUAAGUCAAAAAAGAGCCAAGGUUGUCUACCCCUGGCUUAGAGCAUAAAGCCACACUAAUUCCAUUUUAAUCAUUUUUUCAUAUCCUUUUAAUCAGAAUUCUGUCACACACCUUCCCGAGUACACUUAAACCAAUCCCCAAUACCUUUUGUAUUUAUUUAUUUAUUUAUGAGACUUAUAUACCGCUUUAAGUGCAAGCACUCUCUAAGCGGUGUACACCAGUAAGCAAUGUAUAUAUAUAUUUACAUUGCCCCCCUCAUUUUACCUACCCCGGAAGGAUGGAAGGCUGAGUCAACCUUGAGCCGGUGAGAUUUAAUCGCAAAUUAUUUGGAAAUGUGUCUUACUAAAACCAGUAUACUUAUAAACAAUACCAUAAACGUUAAGAGUGCAAUUUUUGUAAUUUACUCUUCCUAUUUUUCCCUGUAUAUCUACGGGUAUAUUAAUGUCAUCCAUCCCAUUCUCAGGGAUGGAUGCAGUCUUCACAGGACAUGAAAUAUUCCCUACUAACACCGUACCAGUCCGUUGUGGCAUAUUGCAGCCAUAACUAGAAGCACAAUUGAAGUUCAGUUUUAUUCCAGGAAUGUUUGUGCUAUUGUAUGCCAGCGAGAAGUGAGCAUUUAGAUUAGAAUUUUCAAAAUUAAUACUAUGUUAUUUUGAAAGACAUAAUAUCUGUAAAUGAGUUUUCAUCAAGGUCAACCUGUAUUUGUUGCACACCAAUUUUCAAUAAUAUUAUAAUUUCACAGUUGAAGCCUUGAAUCCAUGGGAUACUGCACCUGUCAUUAUCUGGAUAAUGCAUCCUGAUCCCAGUGCAGAGCAAAUUAGUUAUGCCUGAUGAAAAAACCAUUAACUUAGAUUAGGAUGUUAAAAAUCCUGUGGUACAGAUGGUGAAGGAAUUUCUUUACCAUUCGUACUUAGGGCUCCUCAAUAGCAAUCCCCUUAUCCAAAGCCUGUUCAUUUGUCAAGCUUUAUAUACCAUCUCCACCACUUUCCAUCCUAAACACAAAGUCACACUGCACAAAGACCGAAAGAGAGGCUUUAGAUAAAGUCAAGGAAAAUUGCAAAAAUUGCACUCAUCUCUUAACGUUUAUGGUAUUUACUUGUUCAUAAGUAUACUGGUUUUAGUAAGACACAUUUCCAAAUAAUUUGCAAUUCAGUGAUCAUUUGCAUAAAAUUAUUGGUUUGCAUGAGUUAAUUUAAGAACAGAAUUUGAAUGUCACUUGGAAAUAAAUUUGUUUAUUGCGCAAAUAAUAUAUUUGGAUUUUUCUGCACAGGGUGUGUUAAUUUUAUAUUGUUUCAUUUCCUUCCAAGCAUCCAGAGUUUUCAACAGGUGCACAUACAUCCUCUUGAGAAAGCGCUAGGUUAUGCUGGGUAAAAAUGUCAUUUAUUUUUGUUUUUAUUUUUUUUAAGAGUCACUGGCAUAUUAGAUUACUCCAGUGAUCUCAUCCGUCCACAUUCCACAUGCCAUUGCUUGUCUAAACAACAAGAUUCCUUUAACUAGGUUUCCAUCACAACAGCAAAAGCACCAUCUUCUUCCCAAAGUGCAAGAAGGAAUUAAUUUCUCUUCGUAUUGAGAUUAGAAUCACAAGUUACUUCUGUUUCCAGAAACCAAGAUCUGACUCGCUGGGGCUUUCUUUAACUCCAAAUUGCUUCCGCCCUUUGCGUUUCAAGGCAAGGCAUGGCUUAGCAUGAAGUAUUCUGUAAUGACUGAGGCACCUGGCCCCAUAUUUGUCAUUCUCUUGAGGUCAUCAGCCAGCUGUCUGUCCUCUCAACACUCAGCUUUGCCAAAACAGCCAGCGCAUUUUCUGCUGUGCUCAGGUUUCCAGGUCCGAAAUCCUCCAGAUAGAGCAAAUCAAUCAUCCCUCCACAGAAAUAACUGCAAGUAAGCAUUUUCGUAUCCUUGAGCAACAGCUCUGGUUGGCAAGGACACUGCACUCAGCCCUGAGCCAGGAUCCAUACAACACACUUGCACUGCAUGUGGGGAUACAUUAUACUUGACAACCACAGAGCUGUGGCUACAUUUAGGCCAUGACUAAAUCAGGUUUUGCAUGCACUUAACUGAGGGGAGAGGGGAGAGAGAAAGAGAAUGUAAUUAAACGUGAGGGACACUCUUAAUUUCCAUUAAACCCCUCUUGGCUGUUUGCCCUUAUACAACUGGAAUCUGAAGGCCUGGAUUUCUCAUCACAUCAGUAGUGCUUUUGCUACCCUACAGUCCAUUGUCUGUUUAAUGGAACGCUCGGGAAUAUGAGCAGUCACAGACACAAGAUAUUUGCAUUCAACAUUUUUCAAGCAAUCUUAUUAAUGUAACUGAGAACAGAAUGAAAAAGGGGAUUGCAGGGAAUUUUAGCUUGCAUUCUAUUGAAUUGACUGACUGAAACUUGUUUCAUUUUUAUUGAUUUGAAAGAUAAGUAUGACACUGAAAUGGAUUUAUUGAAGAACUGUUAAUGUAAUGUUAGAAUCAGAAUAUGGAGUCCUAAGUCAAAUUACCCCACCAUCUUUCAAUUUAUAUAUUUCAGAGAGUCGUUUGAAACAGCUCCUUCACUUACAGCUAAAUCUCUUUAACAGCAACAACAUAAUACUAUUACUGAUAAUAAGUAGCAGUACCCAGAAAUAAGGCAAUACUUAAGAACUAUAGUCCAUAAUGCAAUGCCAUAUUUGCCCCAAAAGCAGAAUGCAACAGUGUUGUCUGCAUAUCCACUUUAAGUCUAUGAACCAUCCCACUUGAAAGAAAUUGCCCUGUUCUAAUUUCUCAGCAAUGCAAGAUGCUUUAGAAUUUCAUAGUAUAGGUAAGUCCUCAACUUACAACCAUAAUGGAGCUGGUCCACUAUGGUUGCAAAUCAUGAGGAUCCUUAAGCUAGGCACUCACAUGAUUGCCUUGCUUAAUGUUCCCCAUCCGUUCUCCAUGAUGUAAUUCACAGGUGUCAAACUCACGAUGUCACAUGACAUUUUGCAGCGAAUCAUGACUUUUUUCCCAUUGCCGGCAAUGGGGUGGGCGCGGUUUUGGUAUGAUGCAUCCGGCCCGUGGGCUGGCAGUUUGAUACCCCGAUGUAAUUUAAGCCACCAUUCAGGUCAUUAAGCAAAGCAUGGGGUGCCUCAAGGGUGGGGAAGGCCUUGAGAGGCCUAGCACAGGCCCAGGCCUGCCUGCUCUGGGUAUCCUAAGGUCUUUCCCACCCCAAGGCACCCUGUGCUCCUCUUUCCACCCUUUGGGAUACCCACAGGCCUUGGGCCUGCUUCCCACCUCACUGGGUCCCACAUCCUCCUCCCCACACAUCACGGAUCACUCAUGUUCUGUAGAUCUCCAGAGCUUGCAUUGUGGAAGGAGAGCAGGCAGCUCCAUCCCUCCGCAUCCUUAUAAGUCACAAGGUGCUGUCCCAGAAGUGGGUGACAUUUUCAGAGUGGCCACACAUUGCAGCCACUCUGAAAAUGAUGCCUGCCUCCAGGAUGGCACCAUGCAGUCUGUUCUCCUUCUCCAACACAAGCUCCAAAGCUCAGAUCUACAGAAGAAUUGAUUCUGCAGUGGCAAACCAGUAAAACUAUUGAGAAGUGAUGAUCGCAACAGAGUUGAUUCAACUUGUGUGCCUGCAAAAUACUUCAGAAUAUUAUUCUGGACUUCACUACAAAAGAUUGUGUAAUUUAUCCAAGACUAUUUAACAACUUUUAAAUCUGUAAAAUGACAUUGUCUUGUGAGAGUGAGCCUUGUUUGGACCAGUAUCUUGCAAAAAAUUAUAGUGAAUAAACCCACACACCACUCAUCCAGUGAUGAGGUAGGUAAGGUUUUGCAGUUAGAGGCUGUUCUGUAAAGACAUAAUAUGGCUAUGCCCCAUCUAGACUUGACAAUGGUUAAUUUUAUUUCAUAACCAGCUUUUCCUAUUUCUUGUUAUUAUCCGCAAGCAUUAGUCCUAUCUCUCUUGAUACAGAUGCAUACAUAUACACAAAUGAUGCCACAUUUUUAAUAUAUAAUUACAUAAGUUGCUAUAUAAAUACACACACACAAACACAUUCAAUCAUGCACAAAAACAUAUGAGUCCCUUUUCCAAACUGUUUUAGUUUGGUAAGAUUAUGUUCCAUUUAUUUGAAUGCAGUAGUUUGCUUUGGAUUUAUAAUGUUUUUGUUCCCUUUAAAUUAAAAGUCAGUUGAUACUGAAACCCAGGAUAUAAAUACUGCAUGUUAGCGAUUUUCUUUUCAGGAUGGUGGAGAAUAAGUUAUUAGACAUCAUUAUGAAAAAGACUUUUGUGGGUAUGUAUGCAUAAAGAUUACUCAAAACAUACUAUAGAGUAAUGCGAAAUAUAUAAUUUAUUGUAAAAUGGUUGUAAUACAGGCCUUCUUAAAUACAGAAAGAAGAUCACAGGUUGCCUAAAUUUCACAAUUGCAAUGGAAAUGGCAGAUCUUGCAACCAUUUAUUCAUAUUAUAUUCCACAACUUCCUUAACUACUACAAUGAGGGUAGAGCAAAACUCGAAAACCUGAGUCUCAACCUGAAGCAGUUGUUUUCCUCCAAUAAAAACCCAUUUCAAAUAAAUACGAAAAAAAAAGUAAAGACGUUUUUUAAAAAUAUUUCACAAAGGAUAGGAGCCUGCAUGCUGGACAGGGUAAGAACAACAUAAGGCAAUUGCAUCUUUUCCUGAGUUCCUGAGACUCCAGAAAAAAACGUAUUUAACUAUAGUACCAGUUCCACUUGAUGCUAAUAAACAAAAGGACAAAAAUGGAAUAAAAUUGUCUCAUUCUCCCAUAUGUAGCAACCUACCACUAGUACAGGACAAAACUGGUUAACUGAAAAAUGUUAACCACUGCAAAGCAGAUAAAUGAGAAAGAAUGAGAAGUUCAUCAGUUGUCUUUUGAACCUAAUAAUAACAAAAAAAAAAAGUUAAAGGUGGGGGGAGGAAAAAAUGAAGAAAAGUAAAGCAGAAGGCAAAACAUUUUUAAGAAUCUCUUUCACUCACUCUCAACAAAGUCAACAAAAUCAGCAAAGCUUUCCUCUUAAUUAUAUAAAAGAAAUGCAUGUAUUUAUUUUUCCUCUUUGUCUUUCUUUCUGAACUUUCCAUAAAGUAGUUAAAAUAAAUAAAAUAACUACACUGUAUUCUCCCAGUUGUGCCUUGGCCUCAAGAACAGAGAAACAAAUCACCAAAAUACCCAUCUGUGAGACUGCAGAAAGGGAGAUAAGCAACAGAUACAUGUCAUCAAUUCUGCUGAAAGACUGAAGUGCUCUUCUUUCUGAAGUGUUUCCAUUUUAGUCGUCUCUUUUUGGAAUUGCAGUUUAUCAUUAAAAACUGGUGGCUGAUUGCUCCAUCUCCAAAUACUUUUUCCCGUUUAUGUCAUAUCAUUUAGAUUUGAAAGCCUGUAGGCAUUUGGUCCUGGAAUGAUAUAACUGAUAGUUUAUCAGUUUUAUCCUCACUAAUUCUAUUAAUUUAAAAAAUAGUUUCCAUAUAUCAGAUGAAAACCCUUAAAUGUAUUUGCUUCCUUCAGCGAGUUUUCUUUAGGGGAACACUGAAUUAUGUAGGGAAUUAUGGGAAAUGAUGGAAAGUGAACACCCAAAUCAUUUGAAUUAUGAUGAAGUUCAAUGUAACUCCUAGUGUGCUACAAUAAGAACAUAACAUAACACAACAUAAUACUCAUUGGACAACAUUAACUCUCAAAUACUCUGCAGAACAACUCCAUCUUGGCAGCUUUUUAAAAAGCUACCAGAGUUGGCCUCAGACUCACCUCUGGUGAGGAGGUUUACCACAUAAAAAGAGGUUAUCACAUAAAAAGGUGAGAUCAGAGAUCUCACCUUUCCUAGAUUGGAUUCCAAACCCCAUGGAAUCCAAGAAAACAGUCCAGAAGGUAGCUAGGAUCCAAUCCAAUUUGGAUUUUAAAAUUAACUCUCUGCAUUGUAUCUAUAAAUUUAUUUUAAACCAACAGUGCCUACAAUAGCGAUAUUAUAUAUUUGAAACUGUUUCUGCUGUGUAUGUCAGCAUGCAUUGUCUACCGGUAGUAACUGCAACUUCCAAGUUGUCUUCAAAAGCAGCCUCAUGAAAUAACUCUAUCUGGGUGCUAAUAAGGGCAUGAGUUACCAUCAUUAGUUCCUCUCUAUUUCUCAAAAGCAAAUCUUCAACAUGCCACUACAAUUGUCCUGUCUUUCUGGGAAAUUAGACAUUUCUCAUAUCAAAAGCCCUAAAAAGUUUUCCAAGAACAUCAGAUCUUCAAGAGAUGAUUUUGAAAGGCAUUCCCUCCACUUCAUUUUAUUCAACAUACUUCUUUACAUUCUGGUCCUGAACAUAUUUCUGAGUAGUGAGAAAAUAUAACUAUAUUGAGAAAAUAUAUCUUUAACAAACAUUGCACUCCAGCAUUGUGUAAGCUCUACAAUUCUCACACCACAAAAAAAGCUAUUCUAUAAUAAAAUAGUAUAAUUACAUUUCCUUCAGCGACCUUGUAAUCUCUGGAGUAUUUACUUUAGACUAAACAACUCUAUUCAGCUGCCCUGUGUCUGACUGUCAAUGAAAGAAGCUUGUUUGACAACUGCUUGGGGCAGAUUUUUUUUUUUUUUUUGGCCCAUGAUUACAUUAAAAAGAAGUUAGAGAAUA